GAUGAACGCUGGCGGCGUGCCUAAUACAUGCAAGUCGAGCGAAUGGAUUAAGAGCUUGCUCUUAUGAAGUUAGCGGCGGACGGGUGAGCAACACGUGGGUAACCUGCCCAUAAGACUGGGAUAAUUCCGGGAAACCGGGGCUAAUACCGGAUAACAUUUUGAACCGCAUGGUUCGAAAUUGAAAGGCGGCUUCGGCUGUCACUUAUGGAUGGACCCGCGUCGCAUUAGCUAGUUGGUGAGGUAACGGCUCACCAAGGCAGCGAUGCGUAGCCGACCUGAGAGGGUGAUCGGCCACACUGGGACUGAGACACGGCCCAGACUCCUACGGGAGGCAGCAGUAGGGAAUCUUCCGCAAUGGACGAAAGUCUGACGGAGCAACGCCGCGUGAGUGAUGAAGGCUUUCGGGUCGUAAAACUCUGUUGUUAGGGAAGAACAAGUGCUAGUUGAAUAAGCUGGCACCUUGACGGUACCUAACCAGAAAGCCACGGCUAACUACGUGCCAGCCGCCGCCGUAA
rnacentral:rRNA from 1 species